UUCGAGGGGUGUGAGGUGCCCAGUAGACGACUGGGUUGAUAGGCCAGGUGUGGAAGCGUUGCAAGGCGUGGAGCUGACUGGUACUAAUACACCGAAGACUUAUACACACA
rnacentral:rRNA from 1 species